UAUUUCUUUUUCACUUACAUACAUGGUGUUUAGAAAGAAAAUUAAAAAAAUUAAAUUGAGCUCAGUGAAGAAAAUAUGUAUUUUACACAAGUCAUGCCUGAAGAAGACACAGAAGGUUGUCAAAACGUCACGAUAAAAGGCUUGGGUACUUGUAUAUAGUUUAAAAUCUCGACAGCUUUCUGUGUCUUCUUCAAGCACUUAAAAGUGCAUUUUUUGAAUUUAAGCACUCUUUCAUCUUCCCUUACACUCUUAUAAGUUUAAGAGUCUAUUUACAUGACUCUUAACCCAUAUGUAUCUUUUUUUAUUUUUUUCAGAUGGAGACAUCCAGUAUGGUUUUCCGUAAAGGGAGACCAGCGAGGCCCAGAGAGAGAGGCACAUGCUGAGUUAGAUGGAGACAUCCAGUAUGGUUUUCCGUAAAGGGAGACCAGCGAGGCCCAGAGAGAGAGGCACAUGCUGAGUUAGGUAAGUAGAAAUCUCUAAUUUUAUUUCUAAACACCAUUUAGGCUCCUAGGCAUUUAGGGCCUAGGCUCCUCCCCUCUGUUUAUUUAUGCUGCGGUGCC